rnacentral:rRNA from 1 species
UACGAAGGGGGCUAGCGUUGUUCGGAUUCAUUGGGCGUAAAGGGUGCGUAGGCGGCGCGGUAAGUCGGGUGUGAAAUCUUGGAGCUUAACUCCGAAACUGCAUUCGAUACUGCGGUGCUUUGAGGACUGGAGAGGAGACUGGAAUUCAUGGUGUAGCAGUGAAAUGCGUAGAGAUCAUGAGGAAGACCAGUGGCGAAGGCGGGUCUCUGGACAGUUCCUGACACUGAGACACGAAGGCCAGGGGAGCAAACGGG